CCGGGCUUGGGUCCGGCAAAAGUGACCCAAAAGAGACACUCGGGCAGAGCUACUUCGUUUUUUAUUGAAUUUUUUCGUUUUUACAUUUUCAUCCUGCCUUGAAUGUAAGCCAGGGCGGGAUCAGCCAGCGGUGGCUUCCCGCAUGCGCGAUUCAUUUGCAGUCUGGACACGGAGGGGUGAAGAUCUCCUGCUCUGACUGCUGUGUGAGGACUUGGUCGCCUGUGAGUGCUUUGGGACGGGCUGCUCGUUGAGAAGAGUAAAAACGAUACGUGCUUUCACGUCAGAGUCUCCAAUAACACCAGAAAAGGUCACUAGUCGCUUUUUAAAAAAAUGUGUUAAUAGAGGGGUCUAAAUACUCGCUAAAUAUAGCGACAAAGUCGCUAAAUUGGCAACACUGAAGUUGAGAUGUAGUGGGGUGGGGCGUUCCCCCCUCCAAGAGGCGUAUGUAACACCUUCAUAUAAUGUGUAUAGUAUUGCAAUGAAACAGGCAGGGAGCAGGUCUCGAACCCUCGACCUUCUAGCCCGGGGUCCGGAGCGCUAUCGACUCUGCCGCAUUUCGAUUUCCACGCUGAACCCAGGGUCGUUACAGUAUUAUAUAAUAUCGAAUAGUAAACAAGAAGCUUUGGUGUAUUCUAAUUUUCCGGCAUUCCUAGGGGCAACCCGUUCUUUUGGGGCUUUUGUACAACUUACAUACAUACAUACAUAGAUGCAUUUUGGGGAAAGUAGUUUUGGUACAAUAGAAAUUGUCAGGUUUGAUAAGAUUUAUAAUUGUGAUAAACAUUAAAAUAAUUAAUUAUAUGUUUAUAGUUGUUAAGUUUAUGGUGUAUAUCCUGGUGUCCAAUGAAAAAUGUAUCUGGCAACUUUUGGUGACUUUCAAAAUAAUUACAAAAGUAUCAGUGUCUAUAUUUCACCUAUAUAAUAAAAUAUCUGUUCACCUAUAUAACCUAUAUAAUAAAACCUCUGUUCAGACGACUGAGCACCAACAUUACAGGUUGACUACAGAGCACCAACAUUACAGGUUGACUACAGAGCACCAACAUUACAGGUUGACUACAGAGCACCAACAUUACAGGUUGACUACAGAGCACCAACAUUACAGGUUGACUACAGAGCACCAACAUUACAGGUUGACUACAGAGCACCAACAUUACAGGUUGACUACAGAGCACCAACAUUACAGGUUGACUACAGAGCACCAACAUUACAGGUUGACUACAGAGCACCAACAUUACAGGUUGACUACAGAGCACCAACAUUACAGGUUGACUACAGAGCACCAACAUUACAGGUUGACUACAGAACACCAACAUUACAGGUUGACUACAGAACACCAACAUUACAGGUUGACUACAGAGCACCAACAUUACAGGUUGACUACAGAACACCAACAUUACAGGUUGACUACAGAACACCAACAUUACAGGUUGACUACAGAGCACCAACAUUACAGGUUGACUACAGAGCACCAACAUUACAGGUUGACUACCACACACCAACAUUACAGGUUGACUACAGAGCACCAAAAUUACAGGUUGACUACAGAGCAUUACAGGUUGACUACAGAGCACCAACAUUACAGGUUGACUACCUCACACCAACAUUACAAUUCUAAUAUAUAUAUAUUUUAUUAACAACAAAUCAAUACAGAACACAAGUAUAUAUA
rnacentral:lncRNA from 13 species